UAGGUUAACGAGGCGAACCGGGGGAACUGAAACAUCUAAGUACCCCGAGGAAAAGAAAUCAACCGAGAUUCCCCCAGUAGCGGCGAGCGAACGGGGAGCAGCCCAGAGUCUGAAUCAGCUUGUGUGUUAGUGGAACGGUCUGGAAAGUCCGACGGUACAGGGUGAUAGUCCCGUACACCAAAAUGCACAGGCUGUGAACUCGAAGAGUAGGGCGGGACACGUGGUAUCCUGUCUGAAUAUGGGGGGACCAUCCUCCAAGGCUAAAUACUCCUGACUGACCGAUAGUGAACCAGUACCGUGAGGGAAAGGCGAAAAGAACCCCGGCGAGGGGAGUGAAAAAGAACCUGAAACCGUGUACGUACAAGCAGUGGGAGCACCUUCGGGUGUGACUGCGUACCUUUUGUAUAAUGGGUCAGCGACUUAUAUUCUGUAGCAAGGUUAACCGUAUAGGGGAGCCGCAGGGAAACCGAGUCUUAACUGGGCGUUAAGUUGCAGGGUAUAGACCCGAAACCCGGUGAUCUAGCCAUGGGCAGGUUGAAGGUUGGGUAACACUAACUGGAGGACCGAACCGACUAAUGUUGAAAAAUUAGCGGAUGACUUGUGGCUGGGGGUGAAAGGCCAAUCAAACCGGGAGAUAGCUGGUUCUCCCCGAAAGCUAUUUAGGUAGCGCCUCGUGAACUCAUCUUCGGGGGUAGAGCACUGUUUCGGCUAGGGGGUCAUCCCGACUUACCAACCCGAUGCAAACUACGAAUACCGAAGAAUGUUAUCACGGGAGACACACGGCGGGUGCUAACGUCCGUCGUGAAGAGGGAAACAACCCAGACCGCCAGCUAAGGUCCCAAAGUCACAGUUAAGUGGGAAACGAUGUGGGAAGGCACAGACAGCCAGGAUGUUGGCUUAGAAGCAGCCAUC
rnacentral:rRNA from 1 species